rnacentral:tRNA from 1 species
GGGCGAAUAGCUCAGCGGUAGAGCGCCUCGCUUACACCGAGGAAGUCGCAGGUUCGAAUCCUGCUUCGCCCA